GAAAUGCGAUAAGUAAUGUGAAUUGCAGAAUUCAGUGAAUCAUUGAAUCUUUGAACGCACAUUGCGCCCAUUAGUAUUCUAGUGGGCAUGCCUGUUCGAGCGUCAUUUCAACCCCUAAGCACAGCUUAUUGUUGGGCGUCUACGUCUGUAGUGCCUCAAAGACAUUGGCGGAGCGGCAGCAGUCCUCUGAGCGUAGUAAUUCUUUAUCUCGCUUCUGUUAGGCGCUGCCCCCCCGGCCGUAAAACCCCCAAUUUUUUCUGGUUGACCUCGGAUCAGGUAGGAAUACCCGCUGAACUUAAGC
rnacentral:misc_RNA from 1 species